rnacentral:rRNA from 1 species
AAAUCAUUCGUAGCGUGCAAAGGCAGAAGGGAGCUUGACUGCGAGACCUACAAGUCGAGCAGGGACGAAAGUCGGGCUUAGUGAUCCGGCGGUGCCGUAUGGAAGGGCCGUCGCUCAACGGAUAAAAGCUACCCCGGGGAUAACAGGCUUAUCUCCCCCAAGAGUCCACAUCGACGGGGAGGUUUGGCACCUCGAUGUCGGCUCAUCGCAUCCUGGGGCUGUAGUCGGUCCCAAGGGUUGGGCUGUUCGCCCAUUAAAGCGGUACGCGAGCUGGGUUCAGAACGUCGUGAGACAGUUCGGUCCCUAUCCGUCGUGGGCGUUAGAAGUUUGAGAGGAGCUGUCCUUAGUACGAGAGGACCGGGAUGGACGCACCGCUGGUGCACCAGUUGUUCCGCCAGGAGCAUAGCUGGGUAGCUACGUGCGGAAGGGAUAAGUGCUGAAAGCAUCUAAGCAUGAAGCCCCCCUCAA